CGUGCGCACAACUCGCCGCCGCCACCUCCUCCGCGCCGCGGGAGCGUCCGACUGGGCUCCCCGAGGCGGAAGCGCGUCACGGCAGCUUCCGGCGACGGCGGCGGCCGUGCUUGGCGGCAUGGAGGGGGUGCCGCAGGACUGCCCCGGGGCCGGCAGCGCCCAGGCGGGCCGAGGCUCAUCCUGUCAGGGAUGCCCCAACCAGCGGCUGUGCGCUUCCGGGGCCGGGGCCGCUCCGGACCCAGCCGUCGAGGAGAUCAGAGAGAAAAUGAAGGCGGUGAGACACAGAAUUCUGGUGCUGUCCGGGAAAGGCGGCGUGGGCAAAAGCACGUUCAGCGCCCACCUGGCCCACGGCCUCGCGGAGGACGAAGACACGCAGGUCGCCCUCCUGGACGUGGACAUCUGCGGGCCGUCGAUUCCCAAGAUCAUGGGGCUGGAAGGAGAGCAGGUCCACCAGAGCGGCUCAGGCUGGUCCCCCGUGUUCCUGGCAGACAACCUGGGUGUGAUGUCGGUGGGCUUCCUGCUCAGCAGUCCCGACGACGCCGUCAUCUGGAGAGGGCCUAAGAAGAACGGCAUGAUCAAGCAGUUCCUGCGUGACGUGGACUGGGGGGACGUGGACUUCCUCAUCGUGGACACACCGCCUGGCACAUCCGACGAGCACCUCUCACUCGUGCAGUACCUGGCGGCCGCUGGCAUCAACGGGGCCGUGCUCAUCACCACGCCGCAGGAGGUGGCACUGCAGGACGUCCGCAGAGAGAUCAGCUUCUGCCGCAAGGUGCGGCUGCCCAUUCUGGGCGUGGUGGAGAACAUGACCGGCUUCGUCUGCCCCAAGUGCAAGAAGGAGUCUCAGAUCUUCCCGCCAACCACUGGGGGCGCCGAGGCCAUGUGCCAGGCCCUGGGCAUCCCCCUGCUGGGCAGAGUGCCGCUGGACCCGCUCAUAGCCCACACCUGCCACGUACACCCAUUCUCCUUAUCCAAGGAGCAGACAGACCUGCGGACUGGCCACACGCAGACUGCCGGCACCCAGGUAAGAGCUGCGACCGAGGUCAGUCCUUCCUGACGGAGGCCCCAGACUCGCCAGCCACUGCAGCCUACAGGGCCGUCAUCCAGAGAAUCCGGGAGUCCUGCCGCCAGCACCGGCCUGAAGGAGCCCCCGGCCCCAACUCCUGAGACUGGGCAGCCGUGGGGAUGCUGACCAGCCCUGGACCACGGGGUCACACAGGACUGGACCGGCCGGCAUGGGAGGAUCUCUGUGGAGCCGCCUCCGUCCUCGAGUGGCGUCCUCUUCCUCCAGGACACACGGAACCGGUCCUUCCAGCUGUGCCAUCUUAAUAAAAAUGUCUCCUCAAA